rnacentral:rRNA from 1 species
AAAUUGAAGAGUUUGAUCAUGGCUCAGAUUGAACGCUGGCGGCAGGCCUAACACAUGCAAGUCGAACGGUAACAGGAAGCAGCUUGCUGCUUUGCUGACGAGUGGCGGACGGGUGAGUAAUGUCUGGGAAACUGCCUGAUGGAGGGGGAUAACUACUGGAAACGGUGGCUAAUACCGCAUAACGUCGCAAGACCAAAGAGGGGGACCUUCGGGCCUCUUGCCAUCAGAUGUGCCCAGAUGGGAUUAGCUUGUUGGUGAGGUAACGGCUCACCAAGGCGACGAUCCCUAGCUGGUCUGAGAGGAUGACCAGCCACACUGGAACUGAGACACGGUCCAGACUCCUACGGGAGGCAGCAGUGGGGAAUAUUGCACAAUGGGCGCAAGCCUGAUGCAGCCAUGCCGCGUGUAUGAAGAAGGCCUUCGGGUUGUAAAGUACUUUCAGCGGGGAGGAAGGUGUUGUGGUUAAUAACCGCAGCAAUUGACGUUACCCGCAGAAGAAGCACCGGCUAACUCCGUGCCAGCAGCCGCGGUAAUACGGAGGGUGCAAGCGUUAAUCGGAAUUACUGGGCGUAAAGCGCACGCAGGCGGUCUGUCAAGUCGGAUGUGAAAUCCCCGGGCUCAACCUGGGAACUGCAUUCGAAACUGGCAGGCUUGAGUCUUGUAGAGGGGGGGAGAAUUCCAGGUGUAGCGGUGAAAUGCGUAGAGAUCUGGAGGAAUACCGGUGGCGAAGGCGGCCCCCUGGACAAAGACUGACGCUCAGGUGCGAAAGCGUGGGGAGCAAACAGGAUUAGAUACCCUGGUAGUCCACGCCGUAAACGAUGUCUACUUGGAGGUUGUGCCCUUGAGGCGUGGCUUCCGGAGCUAACGCGUUAAGUAGACCGCCUGGGGAGUACGGCCGCAAGGUUAAAACUCAAAUGAAUUGACGGGGGCCCGCACAAGCGGUGGAGCAUGUGGUUUAAUUCGAUGCAACGCGAAGAACCUUACCUGGUCUUGACAUCCACGGAAGUUUUCAGAGAUGAGAAUGUGCCUUCGGGAACCGUGAGACAGGUGCUGCAUGGCUGUCGUCAGCUCGUGUUGUGAAAUGUUGGGUUAAGUCCCGCAACGAGCGCAACCCUUAUCCUUUGUUGCCAGCGGUCCGGCCGGGAACUCAAAGGAGACUGCCAGUGAUAAACUGGAGGAAGGUGGGGAUGACGUCAAGUCAUCAUGGCCCUUACGACCAGGGCUACACACGUGCUACAAUGGCGCAUACAAAGAGAAGCGACCUCGCGAGAGCAAGCGGACCUCAUAAAGUGCGUCGUAGUCCGGAUUGGAGUCUGCAACUCGACUCCAUGAAGUCGGAAUCGCUAGUAAUCGUGGAUCAGAAUGCCACGGUGAAUACGUUCCCGGGCCUUGUACACACCGCCCGUCACACCAUGGGAGUGGGUUGCAAAAGAAGUAGGUAGCUUAACCUUCGGGAGGGCGCUUACCACUUUGUGAUUCAUGACUGGGGUGAAGUCGUAACAAGGUAACCGUAGGGGAACCUGCGGUUGGAUCACCUCCUUACCUUAAAGAAGC